UGACCCUCUACCUCCCAUUAGAUCAGGUCUAAGCUGAUCUAGAUCUUCCAUAGCUGACCUAUAGCCGCCGAGCUCCUUCCCUGACCACUUCACCAUCUCCGCCGCGUCCAUCUCCGGCCUCUACAUUGCCAUUAAGAACAGCCUCGAUGUCGAACCCACAAGCCCUCCAUCUCCGCCUCCAUUGCGCUGACCCUCUUCCUUCAAAACAAAAACAUAAACCCAUCGCCGCCACAACCACCAUCAGAGCCGAACCCACAAGCCCACACCUCUUCCUCUUCCUCUUCUCCAGAUGGGUUUGUGAUCGAAGAGACAAAUGGGUCAUUGAACCAACCGACAGUGGUGGUUGAAGAAAAGAAGCUGAAUCGGACGGCUGAGCUCGCUACUUCGACUGGUGGAGCUUUGGCACUCGCUGUGCUUUGUAACAAAGCUCACUCACUCUAAACUCUCUCUCUCUCUCUCUCUCUCUCUCUCUAAAACCCUCCCCAAAUCCUAGCCUCCUCCUCUCUCUCUCUCUUGCUUCCAUGGAGUUUUGGGCUUGAAGGUACUCGUUGUUCUACCUACCCUGUUGUUGAAACUGGAAGUUGUUUUUGUAAAAAUUGUUUUGGUUUUGGAAAAAGUCAUUUCUAGUUUUUCUACUGACUCUGUUUUUGUUACUGUAUGUGUAAGAAUCAUGGUUCAUGGUUCAUUGUUUAUAUUUUUUUGCUGUUCUGUUGUUUUUGUGUUGGGAAAGUACUUUCUCGUUUUUCUGCUGAAUUUGGUUCUGUUUCUUUUUGUAAAAGCUGUGUUUUAUAUUUCUCAGAUUUUAGUUUUUUUUGUUUAGAGCUACUUAGUUUUUAGUUUGUAACUUGGUAUAAUUCAAAAUGAUUUUUGCAUUCUUUGUUUGAAUGUUGUAUUAUAAUUGGUGGGAUAUCUUGUAAAUUCUUUAGUAGUUUGCUUGGAUCUUGUAAAUCUUAGAUUGUAAUUCUUUUGGAAACCAUUUCAGAGUUCUUUUAAUGAAAUUUGUGAUUACUUAUAAAAAAAAUAUAUAAAAAGAAAAAACUCUCCUUGACGAAUCAGAUAUGCCUUAUAUCACUGGGUUUUAUUCUUAGGGAACAUAUAUCUACAUAGAGAGCAUAUUUUUCUUUUUGAUUGGCUGAAAAAUCAUUCUUGGUGUAGGAGAGCAGGUUUAUCCAUAUGCAUCUGCAUCAUAUUGCUUCUAUCAGUGGUCACAUUACCCAUUUGAAUAAAAAUUUUAAGACCCAAAACUUUUACAAAAGAGUCCUCUCUGCUGCCAAAUCAAUUUCCAGAGUUGGGGGACCAUGGCCCAACUUCUCUUUAUAUUUUUUUUCUUAAAUUUGAUUAAUUUCUGAUAAUCAAUGUGCUUUUGUUUCAGGUUUUUGGGUAGCCAUUGCAGGCGAGCCAGCCUGUGGUGUCUACUUCUAGAGUUUCCUCCAUUGCAGAGAAAGAGGUACAAUCAAUUAAUUGAGUCAGGUGGAUUCUAACUUAAAAGUUGGACCUGUGAGACUCUUCUGCUCUACCAACUGCAAUUUCUAAGGGCUUUCAAAGCUGAAUUGAGAGAACCAUCCAAACCAAGCGACUGGUCUCACUAGUACUAAGUCUCAGUAAGCUUUUAGUCAUGGACAGGACGAUCCUCACCUCUGAUAAAUCAUCCAACUCAUCCCCAUUGAACCCUCCUUCCCGGAUAAUUUGCCAUGUGUGCCAGAAGCAAUUAACAUAAUAUACAUGCCCUCGUUGCAAUUCACGAUACUGCUUCCUCCAGUGCUACAGGUUGUUUCCAAGACCCUGUGGCCAUCAACACCAACAACCUGAAGACGGCCACUACCCCUAGUAAUAUAAGUCACCUACAAUGCUAAGUCACAAGAAAAUCCAAGAGAGCACAUAGCACUCCAAUCCAACCUAACAAGGUCAGCUCCAAGCCCAACUUCACCAACCAAAGGAAGGUUAUUAGUGUUCAAGACCACAACCCUUCCACCUUUCUUAAUGUCCACGUCUAAUGGAGCCUCCUCACAAUUCAAUGCCAUACCCUCUCGAUGUUCUUUCUUUGGUUCAGGCAUUUUUGUUUGUGGGGAAAAUGUAGUAGGCUAGCAUGGGAGAUGGUGCUAAAAGGGCAGAAGUGUUGGUCACCAAAGGAAAAAAAGCCCUUUCUUUAGAGAAAUUCAGUUAUUAAAGGAAAGAAAAUGAGUAGGGAAAUCGUGAACUUUUGAUGCUGUGAACAGGAGGUUGCUGAAAUAUCUGGUAGGAAGGAGGAAAAGGGUGAAGCAAUUGAUGAGGACUGAAUCUGGUCUCAAAGUCCAGCAACUAGACAUUCUGCAAGAAGCAUUAAAUCUCACUGCAAAUAGGUUUGUAUUUUUUUGUUGCACAAUUCAUGUUCUAGUUCUCCCAUUAAUAACUUCAAGACUUGACUCUCUUAUUCAUUCUUUUUCACUUUAUAUGGUCAACUAUGUUCGGCAGUAUGUAUGGGUGCCUGGGGUUUUCCAAUUCACGAUUUUAUGCGAAGCCAUUGGCAGAGCUUAUAACACUACAAGUAAGAGAGAUACUUGUAGCAAAUACAUAAAUUAUAGAUCAUCAAAUGCACCAUAGAAAACCAGGUUUUCAUGUGUAUCUUAAAUUUCAACCUAGAAGUAGCCAACAAAAACUGUUGAUUGAGGCUCAAAUGACACUAAUAUGCAGCAUGUAUCCAAGGGAAAACCUUCUACAGUGUACAAAGCUCACAUUGUCAUUACAGCCUAGGAGUAGAUGAAUUACAGCCUAGGAAUAGAUGAAUUUGCAUUAAAGAUUGAUAAUUUUCCCGUAUUUGUUAGAGAUAUUGAUUUGUGACAGGUUUGAGAAAAUUCUAGUUUGAUAUUUA